rnacentral:tRNA from 1 species
AUUACCUUGGCAGAUUAGUGCAAUAAAUUUAGAAUUUAUUUAUGUAAUUUUUAUUAUUACAGGUGAUA